GGAGCUUGCUCCACCGGAAAAAGAGGAGUGGCGAACGGGUGAGUAACACGUGGGUAACCUGCCCAUCAGAAGGGGAUAACACUUGGAAACAGGUGCUAAUACCGUAUAACAAUCAAAACCGCAUGGUUUUGAUUUGAAAGGCGCUUUCGGGUGUCGCUGAUGGAUGGACCCGCGGUGCAUUAGCUAGUUGGUGAGGUAACGGCUCACCAAGGCCACGAUGCAUAGCCGACCUGAGAGGGUGAUCGGCCACAUUGGGACUGAGACACGGCCCAAACUCCUACGGGAGGCAGCAGUAGGGAAUCUUCGGCAAUGGACGAAAGUCUGACCGAGCAACGCCGCGUGAGUGAAGAAGGUUUUCGGAUCGUAAAACUCUGUUGUUAGAGAAGAACAAGGAUGAGAGUAACUGUUCAUCCCUUGACGGUAUCUAACCAGAAAGCCACGGCUAACUACGUGCCAGCAGCCGCGGUAAUACGUAGGUGGCAAGCGUUGUCCGGAUUUAUUGGGCGUAAAGCGAGCGCAGGCGGUUUCUUAAGUCUGAUGUGAAAGCCCCCGGCUCAACCGGGGAGGGUCAUUGGAAACUGGGAGACUUGAGUGCAGAAGAGGAGAGUGGAA
rnacentral:rRNA from 1 species